rnacentral:rRNA from 1 species
UAGUGGCGAACGGGUGAGUAACACGUGGGCAAUCUGCCCUUCACUCUGGGACAAGCCCUGGAAACGGGGUCUAAUACCGGAUAACACUCUUCCCUGCAUGGGGGAGGGUUGAAAGCUCCGGCGGUGAAGGAUGAGCCCGCGGCCUAUCAGCUUGUUGGUGGGGUGAUGGCCUACCAAGGCGACGACGGGUAGCCGGCCUGAGAGGGCGACCGGCCACACUGGGACUGAGACACGGCCCAGACUCCUACGGGAGGCAGCAGUGGGGAAUAUUGCACAAUGGGCGGAAGCCUGAUGCAGCGACGCCGCGUGAGGGAUGACGGCCUUCGGGUUGUAAACCUCUUUCAGCAGGGAAGAAGCGUGAGUGACGGUACCUGCAGAAGAAGCGCCGGCUAACUACGUGCCAGCAGCCGCGGUAAUACGUAGGGCGCAAGCGUUGUCCGGAAUUAUUGGGCGUAAAGAGCUCGUAGGCGGCUUGUCGCGUCGGAUGUGAAAGCCCGGGCCUUAACUCCGGGUCUGCAUUCGAUACGGGCAGGCUAGAGUGUGGUAGGGGAGAUCGGAAUUCCU